rnacentral:rRNA from 1 species
UCGAGUACUCCAACCCCUGUGACAUACCAAUUGUUGCCUCGGCGGAUCAGCCCGCUCCCGGUAAAACGGGACGGCCCGCCAGAGGACCCCUAAACUCUGUUUCUAUAUGUAACUUCUGAGUAAAACCAUAAAUAAAUCAAAACUUUCAACAACGGAUCUCUUGGUUCUGGCAUCGAUGAAGAACGCAGCAAAAUGCGAUAAGUAAUGUGAAUUGCAGAAUUCAGUGAAUCAUCGAAUCUUUGAACGCACAUUGCGCCCGCCAGUAUUCUGGCGGGCAUGCCUGUUCGAGCGUCAUUUCAACCCUCAAGCCCCCGGGUUUGGUGUUGGGGAUCGGCGAGCCCUUGCGGCAAGCCGGCCCCGAAAUCUAGUGGCGGUCUCGCUGCAGCUUCCAUUGCGUAGUAGUAAAACCCUCGCAACUGGUACGCGGCGCGGCCAAGCCGUUAAACCCCCAACUUCUGAAUGUUGACCUCGGAUCAGGUAGGAAUACCCGCUGAACUUAAGCAUAUCAAUAAGCGGAGGAA